UCAUGAAAGCCGGUUGUACCCGAAGUCCGCAAGCAAACUCGCAAGGAGACGCAGCGGCCGAAGGUAUGGCUGGUGAUUGGAUG
rnacentral:rRNA from 1 species